rnacentral:rRNA from 1 species
GACGAACGCUGGCGGCGUGCUUAACACAUGCAAGUCGAACGGAAAGGCCCUUCGGGGUACUCGAGUGGCGAACGGGUGAGUAACACGUGGGUGAUCUGCCCUGCACUUUGGGAUAAGCCUGGGAAACUGGGUCUAAUACCGAAUAGGACCACGCGCUUCAUGGUGUGUGGUGGCAAGCUUUUGCGGUGUGGGAUGGGCCCGCGGCCUAUCAGCUUGUUGGUGGGGUAAUGGCCUACCAAGGCGACGACGGGUAGCCGGCCUGAGAGGGUGACCGGCCACACUGGGACUGAGAUACGGCCCAGACUCCUACGGGAGGCAGCAGUGGGGAAUAUUGCACAAUGGGCGCAAGCCUGAUGCAGCGACGCCGCGUGAGGGAUGACGGCCUUCGGGUUGUAAACCUCUUUCACCAGGGACGAAGCGUAAGUGACGGUACCUGGAGAAGAAGCACCGGCCAACUACGUG